UAUACUCGACACUGUGUAUCUGUUGAAGGGUUAUAGUUCACCUGUUAUUUCUGUGCAUUUUUAGAAGGGGACACACCAUGCUGCUUUGGCCCAUCAUUUUCCUGGAACCAGACAUUUGGUUAUGUAAUUCCAAAUGUUUUUACAGAGCUGAUGCAUUUUCCCAUUUAUAAAAAAAUGAUGUGUUCUCAUGGCGAUUGGAGAAUAUAAAACCCUAAAAUGGAAAGCAGAGGAGUGACUGGAAAUAAAGCUUUAGAAACUGAAUACAUGGCUGUGAAUGGUAACAACGUCUCUUUCAUAGCGAUAAGGAUCGACUGAGAAAAUCCUCCAUGGUGGGUUAGAAGAUGCUAAAGAAACAUUGAAAUAUUUGAGCUACAGAUUCAGAUGGCCAAGAGGCUCCAGAGUGGCAGGCCUGGUGGUGAGUGAAGCUGCAGAGAUUGCACCUGCCGAGGAUGAAAGACAGAAAAGUGGCAGAACCUAAACCAGUGCCCCGGCCCCCACCCAGCCUUUGCAAUCACCCAUUGAGUAUCCCGUGUCCGGUGACUUGAGAUCAAGACCAAGGAGAAAAGUUCACAUGUCAAAAAUAUAUCCACAAGCUUCAACCAAACAAUAACUUCGAAACAUGCCUUUCUGUCUCUCUUGGAAAAGGAUUUCUGAAUGUCGGAGUGAGAUUUGUUACCUGAUGAUGCCUCAGGUCUGUGAAGACUUCUCCCAGGGUCUCGAGGGAAGUGGAAGGAAGUGCCCAUCAGGUUAAUGCUGGAAACCUAGUCCCGUGUGUGACCCGAGGGAACUCGUCAUCGUGCGUUCGAAAGAGCUCCUGAAAAGUCUACAGGGAGCCGCAUAGUCAGCCCCAGAGAGCUUCUUGCAGGCAGAACUCCCACACUCCGACAUCGCUGUCCAGAGUCAGUCCUUGUGGGACUCUCAGAGUACAGAAAAUUCUGAGAGCUCCGUGAUGAGAGGGAAGGCUCAGCGUGGAAAACAAGGCGGUCCCACUCCUCUGCCUUCAGUUCUCCAGGGCAAGCGGGGCAGAGCUGUCCGAGAUUCUGGGAAUCUUCACUGUUUCUAGUUCAGCACAAAGGUGGGGUGUGGCUUGGAGGUAAGAACCAGAAACAGGGCCCUGGGACUCAGGGAACAUCGGUGGGGAAUGAGCUGGGUCAAGGGAGCCAGUCCUGGGCCAGUCCCAGAGGCUGAGUCAGAGGUCAAGCCGGGCCCAGGAGAUCCUGGCCGAGAGCUCCGGGAAGUGCUGGUGCAAGCGGGCUGAGUGUGCAGCCAGCGGGAAUAGUGGGGCAGAGAAGGGGUCCAGAAGGGCUGGCAGGCAGGUAAUAAUGAGAGGAACAGGAGGAGGCAGGUUAUGGCAAGUCACAGGGCCUGGGCGAAAGAGCUGGGGUCAGCAAUAAUACAGAAGAGGUCAGAGGGCAGAUCCCACCCAGGCCUGGCAGACAUAGGGAGGGCUUCUGGAGGAAGUGGGAGCAGACCCCAUGCAAGGGAGGAGCUGGGGAAGGAAGCUCAGGCCCAGGCAAAGAGGCAAGGAAGUCAGGCAGAGGAGAGGCCGUGGUCUCUGGGAGCUGGGGCCUCUCUGGUUCUUUGGGCUUCUGCGAGAUAGAACACUGUGUGCUCCACAACUUCUCCUCAGCUACCACCAGACCCUUGGGGGCGUCACAGCAACCCUCAACGGCAGCCUGCUUUGCUGGACACGUGCCCUGAACUUUGAGACCCAAGCUAGGGCCUGGUUUAGGCCAUUGUUGUUCACUCAAUCGCCAGGCUCUGCUUAUAACAAUAGCAAAAACACCAAUAAGAAUUGUUAGGGACUUCCUGGAGUCCAAAUUAUUUGGGUUGUUAUGCUGCCAAAGGCAGCACAUAUACAAAUUAUUCAGGCUGCUUCCUGGGACCCCAAAACCAGGCAGUGAAAUAAAAGUUAAAGGUGAGCAGACAGAAAGAAAGCCUCAAAUUCCAACUACGAUUAGCCCCAAGCUGAGAAGACAGCGCACAGCAGCUCCCUAACCAAAACAUGCUGCUUACACUGAACAAACAUCGCAUGCGCCAUGACGGUCGCAUGCCCACUGCACAGUGCAUGCUCCAGGGAACUCUUAAACUGGAGUAAGUUAUCUCCCACGGCUUAGUCCGUGCUGUGCUGCCAUAACAGAAUACCUGAGACUGGGUAAUUUAUAAAUAACGGAG